AUCCAGCUGACGAGUCCCGAAUGGGAUUUAACGCGCGUCCUAGAU
rnacentral:hammerhead_ribozyme from 1 species